rnacentral:rRNA from 1 species
GUACACUCCUGCGGGAGGCAGCAGUGGGGAAUUUUGGACAAUGGGGGCAACCCUGAUCCAGCAAUGCCGCGUGAGUGAAGAAGGCCUUCGGGUUGUAAAGCUCUUUUGUCAGGGAAGAAACGGUGGUGGCGAAUAACUACUACUAAUGACGGUACCUGAAGAAUAAGCACCGGCUAACUACGUGCCAGCAGCCGCGGUAAUACGUAGGGUGCAAGCGUUAAUCGGAAUUACUGGGCGUAAAGCGUGCGCAGGCGGUUGUGUAAGUCAGAUGUGAAAUCCCCGGGCUCAACCUGGGAAUUGCAUUUGAGACUGCACGGCUAGAGUGUGUCAGAGGGGGGUAGAAUUCCACGUGUAGCAGUGAAAUGCGUAGAUAUGUGGAGGAAUACCGAUGGCGAAGGCAGCCCCCUGGGAUAACACUGACGCUCAUGCACGAAAGCGUGGGGAGCAAACAGGAUUAGAUACCCGUGUAGUCCCA